AGAAAUGGACCUCACGUUCUAUGCUGACCUCUCCCGCUCAACAUUACAGUGGAGGAAGUCGCUGAGUCCCCUGGCAUCCACGCUCACAUCCCAAGGAAUGAAGUAUCGAUGGGGCACACCUCAUAAUGGUGUAGAAUAGAGUCAUGGAGGCAUCUGAAAUGGACGCUAUCCUGUCCUCACUGAGACCAAGAACUAACACUCGACCCACUACCACCACCUGGAACCCCGCUACCGUGGUUCCUCCUGCAUUUCGAGGAACAGCGGGCGCACCUGCCACCUGAAAACGGCAACAUCUUUGUUGGGACUUGGAC